rnacentral:tRNA from 1 species
GAGCCAUUAGCUCAGUUGGUAGAGCAUCUGACUUUUAAUCAGAGGGUCAGAGGUUCUAAUCCUCUAUGGCUCACCA